GCCGAUGUGGCUCAGCGGUAGAGCAAUUCACUCGUAAUGAAUAGGUCGUGAGUUCGAUUCUCACCAUCGGCUCCA
rnacentral:tRNA from 1 species